CAGCAGCCACGGUAAUACGGAGGGCGCGAGCGUUACCCGGAUUUACUGGGCGUAAAGGGCGUGUAGGCGGCCUGGGGCGUCCCAUGUGAAAGGCCACGGCUCAACCGUGGAGGAGCGUGGGAUACGCUCAGGCUAGAGGGUGGGGGAGGGUGGUGGAAUUCCCGGAGUAGCGGUGAAAUGCGCAGAUACCGGGAGGAACGCCGAUGGCGAAGGCAGCCACCUGGUCCACUUCUGACGCUGAGGCGCGAAAGCGUGGGGAGCAAACCGGAUUAGAUACCCCUGUAGUCCCUGUCUCUUAUAC
rnacentral:rRNA from 1 species